rnacentral:rRNA from 1 species
UGCCAGCAGCCGCGGUAAUACGGAGGGGGUUAGCGUUGUUCGGAAUUACUGGGCGUAAAGCGCACGUAGGCGGAUUAGUAAGUUAGAGGUGAAAUCCCAGGGCUCAACCCUGGAACUGCCUUUAAUACUGCUAGUCUUGAGUUCGAGAGAGGUAAGUGGAAUUCCGAGUGUAGAGGUGAAAUUCGUAGAUAUUCGGAGGAACACCAGUGGCGAAGGCGGCCAACUGGACUGAUACUGACGCUGAGGUUCGAAAGUGUGGGGAGCAAACAGGAUUAGAUA